ACGGCAUGGGAGGGCCGGCCGCAGCGGGUGACAGCCCCGUACGCGAACCCAGACCGGACGGCGCGACGCGGUCCCUGAGUAGGGCCGGGCACGUGAAACCCGGUCCGAACCUGGGUGGACCACCAUCCAAGCCUGAGUACUACCCUGUGACCGAUAGCGCACCAGUACCGUGAGGGAAAGGUGAAAAGCACCCCGGGAGGGGAGUGAAACAGUACCUGAAACCGUGCGCCCACGAGCAGUCGGAGCAACUUUUAAGUUGUGACGGCGUGCCUUUUGUAGAAUGAGCCAGCGAGUCGCUGGCGCGGGGCGAGGUUAACCGAAAGGGAGCCGGAGCGAAAGCGAGCCUUAACAGGGCGACUUGAGUCCCGCGCCGCGGACGCGAAGCCGGGUGAGCUAUCCGUGGGCAGGCUGAAGCGGGGGUAAGACCCCGUGGAGGGCCGAACGCACGUCGGUUGAAAACGGCGGCGAUGACCUGCGGAUAGGGGUGAAAGGCCAAUCAAACCCGGAGAUAUCUCGUUCUCCCCGAAAUAGCUUUAGGGCUAGCGUCGCGCGUUCACCGCCGGAGGUAGAGCACCGGAUGGACGAGGGGGCUUCGCCGCCUACCGAAUCCAACCGAACUCCGAAUGCCGGCGGCCCAGAGCGCGGCAGUCAGAGCAUGUGGGCUAAGCUGUGUGCUCGAGAGGGAAACAGCCCGGACCGCCCGCUAAGGUCCCCAAGUUCCAGCCGAGUGGCAAAGGAUGUGCGUCCGCCCAGACAACCAGGAUGUUGGCUUAGAAGCAGCCAUGCAUUCAAAGAGUGCGUAACAGCUCACUGGUCGAGUGGACAUGCGCCGACAAUACACGGGGCUAAGCUGGACACCGAAGCGGCGGGAUUUUAUUCAUUAGAAUCGGUAGGGGAGCUUCCCAUGGGCGGAGAAGCCGGAGGGCGACCGACGGUGGAGCGCAUGGGAGUGAGAAUGCUGGCAUGAGUAGCGAGAGACGAGAGAGUAACUCGUCCGCCGUGAACCCGAGGUUUCCUGGGCAAGGCUAAUCCUCCCAGGGUCAGUCGGGGGCUAAGGCGAGGCCGGGAGGCGUAGCCGACGCGCAGCAGGCAGACAUUCCUGCACCGCGCACGCGGCGCUACGACCGACGGGGCGACGGAUGGGGGUGGCUCGGCGGGGUUCUGGACGUCCCCGUGAUGGAGCGCGGCCCGCGGACCAGGGAAAUCCGGUCCGCACGAGGGCGAGGCUCCGGACGAAGCGACUGAGCGAAGCGAGUGAGCCCGAGGUCCCUAGAAAAACCCCUAGGCAGGCGCGUGCGCGCCCGUACCGCAAACCGACACAGGUGGGUGGGUAGAACAUACCGAGGCGAUCGGGUCAACCAUGGUCAAGGAACUCGGCACAAUGGCCCCGUAACUUCGGGAGAAGGGGUGCCCGCGCGUACGUGAACGGACUUGCUCCGGGAGCGGAGGCGGGCCGCAGUGGAGAGGCCCAAGCGACUGUUUACCAAAAACACAGGACUCUGCAGAAGCCGCAAGGCGACGUAUAGGGUCUGACGCCUGCCCGGUGCCGGAAGGUCACGCGGAGGGGUUAGCCAUUUCGGCGAAGCCCCGAAGCCAAGCCCCGGUAAACGGCGGCCGUAACUAUAACGGUCCUAAGGUAGCGAAAUUCCUUGUCGGGUAAGUUCCGACCUGCACGAAAGGCGCAACGACUUGGGCGCUGUCUCGACCAUGGACCCGGUGAAAUUGCACUGGUCGUGAAGAUGCGACUUACCCGCGGAAGGACGGAAAGACCCCGUGAACCUUCACUGCAGCUUGGCAUUGGCCGCUGGUCCCGCGUGUAGAGGAUAGGCAGGAGGCAUCGAUCCGGAGGCGCCAGCCCCCGGGGAGCCGCCCUUGGAAUACUGCCCUCGCGCGACCGGCGUCCUAACCCGAGGCCGUCAACCGGCUCGGGGACCGUGCCAGGCGGGCAGUUUGACUGGGGCGGUCGCCUCCUAAAGGGUAACGGAGGCGCGCGAAGGUCCGCUCGGGACGGUCGGCAACCGUCCUUUUGAAUGCAAGAGUACAAGCGGGCUUGACUGCGAGGCCCACAAGCCGAGCAGGUGCGAAAGCAGGCUCUAGUGAUCCGGCGGCCCCGAGUGG
rnacentral:rRNA from 1 species